CACGUAGGGGGCAAGCGUUGUCCGGAUUUAUUGGGCGUAAAGAGCUCGUAGGUGGUUCGGUAAGUCGGGUGUGAAACCUCCAGGCUCAACCUGGAGACGCCACCCGAUACUGCUGUGACUGGAGUCCGGUAGGGGAGCGUGGAAUUCCUGGUGUAGCGGUGAAAUGCGCAGAUAUCAGGAGGAACACCAGCGGCGAAGGCGGCGCUCUGGGCCGGUACUGACACUGAGGAGCGAAAGCGUGGGGAGCGAACAGG
rnacentral:rRNA from 1 species